rnacentral:rRNA from 1 species
GACGAACGCUGGCGGCGUGCUUAACACAUGCAAGUCGAACGGAAAGGCCCUGCUUUUGUGGGGUGCUCGAGUGGCGAACGGGUGAGUAACACGUGAGUAACCUGCCCUUGACUUUGGGAUAACUUCAGGAAACUGGGGCUAAUACCGGUUAGGAGCUCCUGCUGCAUGGUGGGGGUUGGAAAGUUUCGGCGGUUGGGGAUGGACUCACGGCUUAUCAGCUUGUUGGUGGGGUAGUGGCUUACCAAGGCUUUGACGGGUAGCCGGCCUGAGAGGGUGACCGGCCACAUUGGGACUGAGAUACGGCCCAGACUCCUACGGGAGGCAGCAGUGGGGAAUAUUGCACAAUGGGCGGAAGCCUGAUGCAGCAACGCCGCGUGCGGGAUGACGGCCUUCGGGUUGUAAACCGCUUUCGCCUGUGACGAAGCGUGAGUGACGGUAAUGGGUAAAGAAGCACCGGCUAACUACGUG